CAGCCGCCGCGGGAAAACGGAGGGUGCAAGCGUUAAUCGGAAUUACUGGGCGUAAAGCGCACGCAGGCGGUCUGUCAAGUCAGAUGUGAAAUCCCCGGGCUUAACCUGGGAACUGCAUUUGAAACUGGCAGGCUGGAGUCUUGUAGAGGGGGGUAGAAUUCCAGGUGUAGCGGUGAAAUGCGUAGAGAUCUGGAGGAAUACCGGUGGCGAAGGCGGCCCCCUGGACAAAGACUGACGCUCAGGUGCGAAAGCGUGGGGAGCAAACAGGAUUAGAUACCCGUGUAGUCCCUGUCUCUUAUAC
rnacentral:rRNA from 1 species